GAGUAACACGUGAGCAAUCUGCCUUUCAGAGGGGGAUACCGAUUGGAAACGAUCGUUAAUACCGCAUAAUAUAAUUGAACCGCAUGAUUUGAUUAUCAAAGAUUUAUCGCUGAAAGAUGAGCUCGCGUCUGAUUAGCUAGUUGGUAAGGUAACGGCUUACCAAGGCGACGAUCAGUAGCCGGACUGAGAGGUUGAUCGGCCACAUUGGGACUGAGACACGGCCCAGACUCCUACGGGAGGCAGCAGUGGGGAAUAUUGCACAAUGGAGGAAACUCUGAUGCAGCGAUGCCGCGUGAGGGAAGAAGGUUUUAGGAUUGUAAACCUCUGUCUUCAGGGACGAAAAAAGACGGUACCUGAGGAGGAAGCUCCGGCUAACUACGUGCCAGCAGCCGCGGUAAUACGUAGGGAGCGAGCGUUGUCCGGAAUUACUGGGUGUAAAGGGAGCGUAGGCGGGAUCGCAAGUCAGAUGUGAAAACUAUGGGCUUAACCCAUAAACUGCAUUUGAAACUGUGGUUCUUGAGUGAAGUAGAGGUAAGCGGAAUUCCUAGUGUAGCGGUGAAAUGCGUAGAUAUUAGGAGGAACAUCAGUGGCGAAGGCGGCUUACUGGGCUUUAACUGACGCUGAGGCUCGAA
rnacentral:rRNA from 1 species